rnacentral:lncRNA from 1 species
GAAAAUAGUGUGGCUGUAUAGAUGUGGUUCUUCGGGCAGUAAGCUAGGCUUUUGCAAACUCAAAAUGAAUUUCAAUCGUUUUUUUUAUUUCGAAUAUUUUUUUCUUCUUUUUUUUACACUUUGCUAAAUACAAUAGAAAGCUUUGAACACAAAAUAAUAAUUUUUUUCGAUUUUUUUACAAUCUCGUAAUACCGAUUACAACGAUUCUUACUCUAAUUCAACUAGCUCUGAUACCAACUUGAUAUGCCCUCACCUCGUUUUCGAAUUGAGUCGUAGAGAUUGCCCGAUCGUGAAUUAGG